rnacentral:rRNA from 1 species
GUGGGGAAUCUUCCGCAAUGGACGAAAGUCUGACGGAGCAACGCCGCGUGAGUGAAGAAGGUUUUCGGAUCGUAAAGCUCUUUCGUUAGGGACGAACGUGCUCUUUGUGAAUAAUGAGGAGUAAUGACGGUACCUAAAUAAGAAGCCACGGCUAACUACGUGCCAGCAGCCGCGGUAAUACGUAGGUGGCAAGCGUUGUCCGGAAUUAUUGGGCGUAAAGCGCGCGCAGGCGGGAUAUCAAGUCUGUCUUAAAAGUGCGAGGCUCAACCUCGUGAGGGGACAGAAACUGGUAUUCUUGAGUGUCGGAGAGGAAAGUGGAAUUCCAAGUGUAGUGGUGAAAUGCGUAGAGAUUUGGAAGAACACCAGUGGCGAAGGCGACUUUCUGGACGAUGUCUGACGCUGAGGCGCGAAAGCUAGGGGAGCGAACGGGAUUAGAUACCCUUGUAGUCC